ACAUGGGUCAUUUCUUCCAGGCUCCAACUUGCUUCUGCUUUGCCAUAUGGUAACACGCCGUAUUAUGGAAGCACCAUCAUUACCGCCAUUUGCAGGGGAAGCCUAAAGAGAUAAAUGCCAGCCAGCAUCCCUGUCUCUGGGGCCCUGGAGAGGCCUUCAACACACCUGGCCUCACUGCCCUGUGGCUUCAACAAAGAGGCCGAGCAUCUCCUAUAAACCUUGAGGUCCAUGGAUGACAUAGCGGAAUGAUGGAUUUCAGAAAAGACACAAUGAACAAAAACCAGAGCUUUUGAAUACAGAUUUCCAGUAAAACCAAACCCAGCUUGGGUCAGAUGCACCUUUCCAGCAACCACCAUCUCAGCAACAACCUGCCAGCUGUCAACUGGAAGUUCAGCUUCUGGGAACUUCAGCCCCCUUCUCAGAGGAGCAAGGUCCUAGCACCAACAGCACCUGCAGUGGAGCCCAAGUAUGGCUGCUUCAUGGAGAAGGCAGUUCCUUGCUAAUGCAUAUAGACUGAGUCCAAUACGAUAGUUAAAAUGUCACAUUCCUCCAAAUGGAUUUCCAGAUAUUGAAAUGUGAUCACUGAGGCUCAGUGGGAAUCCCUUUGCUCUCAAACUCCCCGAUGCAAUGCCUUCUGAUUUCAACAGAAAAGCAAGAGGCUCCAGGCACCCCAUUCAGGGACUGCCACCAAAGUACCCGCAAAUCCUUCAUGAAAGGGGAGACAUUGACACAUUCUUUUUUUAUUCUCUGAUGAAAGGAGAGACCCAAUCUUGCUAUGCUGCCCAGGCUAGUCUUGAACCCCUGACCUCAAGCAAUCCUCCUGUCUCAGCCUCCCAAGUCUCUGGGAUUACAGACACUUCCAAUAAGAAGACUGAGCCACCAGGCAGAUGUUAUAAGCAAUGUGAGCUUGUGCUGGAAGAAGAGAGAAUCCACCAGUGUCCUGGGCCCUCCAAGGCCUCUCUGAGGGAAAGACAUUUGGACAGAGAUGCCAAGGACAAGGAAGAGGCAGUCACCCACCUCUGGGCAAGGUGCAAAAGCCCAAGAUUCACGUUCAUGUGUUGCAAGCACAAAAAGAAGAUCCUGUGGCUGGAGUAGAGUGAGGAACAGUGAGAAUGGUAGGAGCAGAGGGCAGAGAAAGUGGCAAAAACAAGGUCGCAUGAGGCCUUGUAAGCCAUGGUCAAGAGGUGAUAUUUUAUUUUAAAUGAAUCCAAAGUAAUUGCAAGUUUUUGAGCAAGUAAGCAAAAUGCUCCUUUGCAAAAAACAAAAAAAAAAAAAAAAAAAAAACAAACAAA
ensembl:lncRNA LINC01533 long intergenic non-protein coding RNA 1533